AAAUUGAAGAGUUUGAUCAUGGCUCAGAUUGAACGCUGGCGGCAGGCCUAACACAUGCAAGUCGAACGGUAACAGGAAGCAGCUUGCUGCUUUGCUGACGAGUGGCGGACGGGUGAGUAAUGUCUGGGAAACUGCCUGAUGGAGGGGGAUAACUACUGGAAACGGUAGCUAAUACCGCAUAACGUCGCAAGACCAAAGAGGGGGACCUUCGGGCCUCUUGCCAUCAGAUGUGCCCAGAUGGGAUUAGCUUGUUGGUGGGGUAACGGC
rnacentral:rRNA from 2 species